rnacentral:misc_RNA from 1 species
GUACAUUAGUGCUUGCGCACGACAAGUUUUCAUUACAUUCGAGUGUGUGUAAAAAUCCUCUGCCAGCCGAAGCUAGCAAGAGGCCAAAGGUUCACAGGGUAGUAGUGGAUGAAAGCCACCAACGUGCACUUGCUCGCGAGAGCCAGCACCGAAGGUAACCAUUCGCAAUCAUUAAUGAUCCUUCCGCAGGUUCACCUACGGAAA